GCCAGCUCCGCCCGCAGCGCCGCCACCUCCCGCUCCAGCUCCCCGUUCCGCCGCCGCAGCAGCUCGGCCUCCCCCUCCUGCUCCCUCUUCUUCCCCCCGGCCGCGAUGCCCACGAACAUUGCCGGCGCCAUAGCUAGCUAGCUGCAGCUCAAGCUGGCAAGAUCAAAUUCGCCGCACGCAGCUGAUUAAUCCAAGCUUCGCUUAGGUGAUUGAGGUGGGAGGGGAGGCGGCGCGUAGGCUGUAUUUAUGAACGGGGUGCAGUGCAGGGCCGGGAAGGCGUCCAGGUUCAGUGAACCUGGAGCGUGAGGACGAGAUGCAUCAGCAGUCGUCUCGUCUCCACGGAUGGGAUGAGGUCAGGUU
rnacentral:lncRNA from 1 species